rnacentral:misc_RNA from 1 species
GAUGAAGAACGUAGCGAAAUGCGAUAAGUAAUGUGAAUUGCAGAAUUCAGUGAAUCAUCGAAUCUUUGAACGCACCUUGCACCCUUUGGCAUUCCGAAGGGUAUGCUCGUUUGAGUGUCAUUGUACUCUCACUCUCCCGAUGCUUUUGGAUCGGGAGUGGUGGACUUGGGUGUUGCUGCUUUGCUGUGGCUCGCCUCAAAUGGAGUAGUGCAACUCUUUGUUGGACAUAGUACGGCGUGAUAAGUGUCUUCGCCGGCGCCUCAUUAUAGAGGGUGGCCGAUCGGGAGCUCUGUGCUUCAAACCGUCUUCGGACAACAUCUGACAACUUGACCUCAAAUCGAGUAGGACUACCCGCUGAACUUAAGCAUAUCAAUAAGCGGAGGA